rnacentral:tRNA from 1 species
UGGACCAGCUAGGACUUGAACCUAAGACCUUCCAUACGCUACUAGAGUGCUCUACCACUGACCUAUUGGCCC